GGUUUCGUAGUUCACCUGGUAGAGCGGUUGCCUCGUUGAGGCAUGGUGUUUUUGACGCUGGUUCGAAUCCAGUCGAAGCCC